rnacentral:rRNA from 1 species
GAAGGAUCUUCCACAAUGGACGCAAGUCUGAUGGAGCAACGCCGCGUGAGUGAAGAAGGCUUUCGGGUCGUAAACUCUGUUGUUGGAGAAGAAUGGUCGGCAGAGUAACUGUUGUCGGCGUGACGGUAUCCAACCAGAAAGCCACGGCUAACUACGUGCCAGCAGCCGCGGUAAUACGUAGGUGGCAAGCGUUAUCCGGAUUUAUUGGGCGUAAAGCGAGCGCAGGC